CCCCUAGAUGUUCUGGGCCGCACGCGCGCUACACUGAACAGUUCAACAAGUCUUAACCUUGGCCGAUAGGUCUGGGUAAUCUUUGAACGCUGUUCGUGAUUGGGAUAGACCUUUGCAAUUAUGGGUCUUCAACGAGGAAUUCCUAGUAAACGCAAGUCAUCAGCUUGCAUUGAUUACGUCCCUGCCCUUUGUACACACCGCCCGUCGCACCUACCGAUUGAAUGGUCCGGUGAAAUCUCGGGACGGCGGCUUGGUCGCUUGCGUCCGAUUGCUGAAACUUGAUUAAACCAUAUCAUUUAGAGGAAGGUGAAGUCGUAACA
rnacentral:rRNA from 1 species